rnacentral:rRNA from 1 species
UACGAAGGGUGCAAACGUUGCUCGGAAUUACUGGGCGUAAAGGGCUCGUAGGCGGCCCUCUCAGUCGGAUGUGAAAUCCCCAGGCUUAACCUGGGAACGGCAUCCGAUACUGGAGGGCUUGAAUUCGGGAGAGGGAUGCAGAAUUCCAGGUGUAGCGGUGAAAUGCGUAGAUAUCUGGAGGAAUACCGGUGGCGAAGGCGGCAUCCUGGACCGAGAUUGACGCUGAGGAGCGAAAGCUAGGGGAGCAAACGGG